UACGAAGGGGGCUAGCGUUGCUCGGAAUUACUGGGCGUAAAGGGCGCGUAGGCGGCACUGUUAGUCAGGCGUGAAAGUCCUGGGCUCAACCUGGGAACUGCGCUUGAUACGGCAGAGCUAGAGGAUGGAAGAGGCUCGCGGAAUUCCCAGUGUAGAGGUGAAACUCGUAGAUAUUGUCAAGAACACCAAUUGCGAAGGCAGCUUACUAAAUUAUAACUGACGCUGAGGCACGAAAGUGUGGGUAUCAAACAGG
rnacentral:rRNA from 1 species